GCCAGUGUGGUGUAGUGAUUUGAAUGUUGGACUUUGAUUCUGGAGAUCAGGGUUCAAAUCCUGGCUCAGUCA